rnacentral:lncRNA from 1 species
CACGCCCUGGAACUGCCAAACCACUCCUGGAAAAGUCCAAACAAGGCCCAGACUGAUUGCCCACGCCCAUGACCCAACCACAAGAGCCCUCCAGCCCAUUGGUACACAUGGGUCAUCCACAUGGCCUUGUCACUGUCCAGACUCGAACCAACUGCCCAAGACUCGAACACUCAGUCCAGCUGAGUUGAGCUGAUCCCCAGCUGACCCAGCUGAGUGAGCUAGUCCAUCUAGCUCAGGGAGCUGAC